UAUAAGCCAUAAAUCAUAAACUACAAAAUAUGGCAAAAAUGGCAUAACUAGUACACAUCAAAGAUUAACAUAACUAUUAGGGUUGACUCAUAACAUAUUUUAAUCCUUGUUGUGACCAUCCUUAUGGCACCGACUGCAUUUGAUACCAAAUUUUGCUCGUUUGAGUUGUGACUCAUUUCUCACUUGUUCUUCAGUCUCCUUGUUCAUUUUCUUCUU
rnacentral:lncRNA from 1 species